CACGUAGUUAGCCGGGGCUUCUUACUCAGGUACCGUCAUUUUCUUCCCUGCUGAUAGAGCUUUACAUACCGAAAUACCUCUUCACUCACGCGGCGUUGCUGCAUCAGGGUUUCCCCCAUUGUGCAAUAUUCCCCACUGCUGCCUCCCGUAGGAGUUUGGGCCGUGUCUCAGUCCCAAUGUGGCCGGUCACCCUCUCAGGUCGGCUACUGAUCGUCGCCUUGGUAGGCCGUUACCCCACCAACUAGCUAAUCAGACGCGGGUCCAUCUCAUACCACCGGAGUUUUUCACACCGGAUCAUGCAAUCCUGUGCGCUUAUGCGGUAUUAGCAGUCAUUUCUAACUGUUAUCCCCCUGUAUGAGGCAGGUUACCCACGCGUUACUCACCCGUCCGCCACUCAGUCAAUUAAAAUUCCAUCCGAAAACUUCCUUCUAAUCGCUUCGUUCGACUUGCAUGUGUUAAGCACGCCGCCAGCGUUCAUCCUGAGCCAGGAUCAAACUCU
rnacentral:rRNA from 1 species